rnacentral:rRNA from 1 species
AUUGAACGCUGGCGGCAUGCUUUACACAUGCAAGUCGAACGGUAACAGGUUAAGCUGACGAGUGGCGAACGGGUGAGUAAUGCAUCGGAACGUGCCCGGUCGUGGGGGAUAACGCAGCGAAAGCUGCGCUAAUACCGCAUACGAUCUGAGGAUGAAAGCGGGGGACCGUAAGGCCUCGCGCGAUCGGAGCGGCCGAUGUCAGAAUAGGGAGUUGGUGGGGUAAAGGCUCACCAAGCCAACGAUCUGUAGCUGGUCUGAGGGGACGACCAGCCACACUGGGAAUGAGACACGGCCCAGACUCCUACGGGAGGCAGCAGUGGGGAAUUUUGGACAAUGGGCGAAAGCCUGAUCCAGCAAUGCCGCGUGCAGGAAGAAGGCCUUCGGGUUGUAAACUGCUUUUGUACGGAGCGAAAAGGUCUCCUCUAAUACAGGGGGCUCAUGACGGUACCGUAAGAAUAAGCACCGGCUAACUACGUGCCAGCAGCCGCCGUAA